GGCUGUAGCUCAGUGGAAGAGCACCUCCUUUGCAUGCAAAAGGUCCCUGGUUGGAGCUCCAGCAUCUCCAGGCUGGGCUA